GCAGUCGAGCGAAUGGAUUAAGAGCUUGCUCUUAUGAAGUUAGCGGCGGACGGGUGAGUAACACGUGGGUAACCUGCCCAUAAGACUGGGAUAACUCCGGGAAACCGGGGCUAAUACCGGAUAACAUUUUGAACUGCAUGGUUCGAAAUUGAAAGGCGGCUUCGGCUGUCACUUAUGGAUGGACCCGCGUCGCAUUAGCUAGUUGGUGAGGUAACGGCUCACCAAGGCAACGAUGCGUAGCCGACCUGAGAGGGUGAUCGGCCACACUGGGACUGAGACACGGCCCAGACUCCUACGGGAGGCAGCAGUAGGGAAUCUUCCGCAAUGGACGAAAGUCUGACGGAGCAACGCCGCGUGAGUGAUGAAGGCUUUCGGGUCGUAAAACUCUGUUGUUAGGGAAGAACAAGUGCUAGUUGAAUAAGCUGGCACCUUGACGGUACCUAACCAGAAAGCCACGGCUAACUACGUGCCAGCAGCCGCGGUAAUACGUAGGUGGCAAGCGUUAUCCGGAAUUAUUGGGCGUAAAGCGCGCGCAGGUGGUUUCUUAAGUCUGAUGUGAAAGCCCACGGCUCAACCGUGGAGGGUCAUUGGAAACUGGGAGACUUGAGUGCAGAAGAGGAAAGUGGAAUUCCAUGUGUAGCGGUGAAAUGCGUAGAGAUAUGGAGGAACACCAGUGGCGAAGGCGACUUUCUGGUCUGUAACUGACACUGAGGCGCGAAA
rnacentral:rRNA from 1 species